rnacentral:sRNA from 1 species
CAGUGGCAGCAUCAUGGGGGCGCCUUCACCUCCUAGCUCAUGCCUAGUGCCUCCCCUCCCUCCGGAGCAGGAUUCCCCAGUGAACAAACUGCUCUACGCCCGGGAGAUCCCACGCUACAAGCAGAUGGUGGAGAGGUGGGUGUCAGAGGCAUCAGGGCUGCGGGGAUGGGGGCUGCCCCACGCCUAACUCAGUCUGCUCCUCCAGAUACUAUGCGGACAUUCGCCAGAGCUCUCCGGCGAGCUACCAGGAGAUGAACUCUGCCCUGGCUGAGCUCUCCGGGAACUACACUUCUGCUCCCCACUGUCUGGAGGCUCUGCAAGAACUCUACAACCACAUCCACAGGUACUACGAUCAGGUCGCCGCCCUGGUGGAGAACAAAGUGACUGACCUGUGAGCUCUGGGCUCAGACAGCAGCAAGCCGGAUCCACCACCACCGCAGUGCCUUAUGACCCCGGAACCGAGCCAGCCACUGAGGGGAGCCGGCAGAGCCUGGGGGCACAGGGUGCAAAGCCAGGCACUGUGCCCAGCAGUGGGCUCCCUGCCUGCCACCUCCCCUGCCAGCCCGCCCACCUUCCCCCCACCUGGGAUUGUUUCUAAUUUAUAAGGAUCCCCCUCCUUCCCCCUCUCCCCAUUGUAUUUAUUUGCCUGCUGGAAAAUCACAUCCGGAAAUAAAAUAGAAAUGUCUUUUUAUUUU